GUGAAGAAACUCUGCUUGCGCUCCUCGCUUCGGCAGGAUCGCAGCAACUCUACACAUCCAUAACACCUGUGAAUCUGUAAGAUGUGGUUGAUUUCGAUCACCCAUCUGCCCCCUUUAUAAACAUUUAGUAGUAACAAAAGUAGUAUUAUUAUAAUCUAAUA
rnacentral:misc_RNA from 1 species